GCUGGGCAUGGUGGCGCGUGCCUGUAAUCCCAGCUACUCGGGAGGCUGAGGCAGGAGAAUUGCCUGAACCCAGGAGGUGGAGGUUGCGGUGAGCCGAGAUCGCGCCAUUGCACUCCAGCCUGGGUAACUAGCGAAACUCCAUCUCAAUAAAAAAAAUAAAAAAGGAGAAGAUUACUUGGAACUGUGGUGCCAGCGUUUUUUUUUUUUUUUUGAGACUGAAUCACCUAGGCUGAAGUGCAAUGGCACGAUCCUGGCUCACCACAUCCUCCGCCUCCUGGGUUCAAGCGAUUCUCCUGCCUGAG
rnacentral:SRP_RNA from 1 species